GGGCUGGCGGCCCCCACAGGCCACUGCCCCGAGGCCGCCACGAGAGGGCAGGAGAGCCCUUCCUGGGAGCUCUGUGCCACGGGGAAACGCAGCCCCGCCAAGCACAGCAUGGAUGUUUCCAGCAGGGAAUGAAGAGAGAGGCCCCAGCACAUGAGAGAAGAGCACACUGGGCGGCCCCUGUCGGAGCCUCUCCUGUCCCCAGCGACCCCUGAGAGCAGGCCCUGGGCCUCUGCGGCCCCUCCCGGAGCCACUCUUCAACUGCUGACCUGCUCCCAGCUCUUCUGUGCCCCGCCCAGCUCCCUGCAAAACCUCACCUGAGGGGAAGGAGGCCCUGUUUGGGCUCAGACGCAGCAGGUGCAGCUUGUGGUCCUGGGGCCACACCUGUUAGAGCCCAUCCUUCUACCCCUGCUGGGCCCUGAGUGUCGUCCGUCCCCACAGAACUCAGCAGGGUCAGGUCUGGGCACUCCAGGCCGCCAGCCCCCUGAGUGAGCCCUGGGCCGGAGGUAGUUGUGGGUCACAGGCACCCCAGCCAGAACACCCACAGUGGGUAGAUGUGUGGGGACCGGAUGUGGGUCCUCUCCUGAGAGACGUGCAGAUGGGGAGAGGCUGGGCAGUUCUCAGCACAGCUGGAGCAUCUACCUGUCACCACCUCGGAGCCUCCUGGCCCCGUGGGGGCGGCCCUGGGAGCAGGGUCGGCAGUGAAGAGCAGAGAAAGGCAGUUGGGGAUGUUGCCACUGUCCCCCGAGACCACCCUGCCAUGGAGACGAGGGAGCUGUCCCUUCGCGGAAGGGGGCUGGCCAGCAAGAAGGACAGAGAGUGGACUGGCCGAGGACCGCUGAGCUCAGGACCCAAGGAGGACUCUUCUAGGAGACGAGAGAGCGAACGCCAGGGACCCUGUGCAGGCCUGCUCCUCCGUUUGCAAGGUGCCACCCUAAGGACCAAAUCCCCAGAAGCCAG
rnacentral:lncRNA from 10 species